UACGUAGGUGGCAAGCGUUGUCCGGAUUUAUUGGGCGUAAAGAGCGUGUAGGCGGCUAGGUAGGUCCGUUGUGAAAACUCGAGGCUCAACCUCGAGACGUCGAUGGAAACCAUCUAGCUAGAGUCCGGAAGAGGAGAGUGGAAUUCCUGGUGUAGCGGUGAAAUGCGCAGAUAUCAGGAAGAACACCCGUGGCGAAGGCGGCUCACUGGCCCGGUACUGACGCUGAGGCACGAAAGCGUGGGGAGCAAACAGG
rnacentral:rRNA from 1 species